rnacentral:rRNA from 1 species
UACGUAGGAUACAAGCGUUAAUCGGAAUUACUGAGCGUAAAGCGUGCGCAGGCGGUUCUAUAAGACAGAUGUGAAAUCCCCAGGCUCAACCUGGGAACUGCAUUUGUGACUGUAGAGCUGGAGUACGGUAGAAGAAGAUGGAAUUCCGCGUGUAGCAGUGAAAUGCGUAGAUAUGCAGAGGAACACCGAUGGCGAAGGCAAUCCCCUGGACCUAUACUGACGCUCAUGCACGAAAGCGUGGAAAGCAAACAGG